rnacentral:rRNA from 1 species
AUGAUGCACCGUGCUACGAUCGUCGGCGUCGUCGCGCUGAUCGCCUGCCUUCUCGCCGGCGGCGGGGCUCGAGCGCAGCAGCAGCGGUUCGACUACCCGGCGGCGAGAGCGCCCGCGACCUGGGCCAACACGGACGCCGGCCUGCCGCACCACGUCGUCUACACCGACGGCUCCGUGGCGCGCGUGGCCCUGCUGCGGCUCAACCCGGCCGGCUUCGGCCCAUCCUACGCCUUCGGCUUCUUCUGCACCAGCCCCGGCGCGGCCCCGUGCGCCGACUUCCUCCUCGGCGUCGCCGUCGUGUACUGCAACAGCGGCGCGCUCAUCACGUCCACCACGACCGGCGUCCCGCAGGUCGUCUGGUCGGCUAACCGCGGCAGCCCCGUGGGCGAUGGCGCCGCUGCGGAGCUCACGGCUGAGGGCGACCUGGUGCUCAGGUCCGCCAACGGCUCUGUGGUGUGGUCCGCCGGCACCAAGGGCCGGUCCGUCGCCGGGGUGACCAUCGGCAGCGACGGCAACCUCGUGCUGCUCGACGGGCGCAACGCCACCGUGUGGCAGUCGUUCGACCACCCCACGGACGCGCUCCUCGUCGGGCAGUCGCUCAGGCACGGCGCGCGGCUCAUUGCCAAUGCGUCGACCGCGGACUGGCGGGACGGCAGGCUCUACCUCGCCGUCGAGGACGACGCCCUGAGCGCCUACGUCAACGCCACGCCGCCGCAGCGCUACUACCACCUCGGCUUUGGCGAGACCGCGGCCGGCGCCUACGCGACAUACACCAACGGCAGCCUCACGGUGUCCGCCCUCCCCGGAGCGCCGUCGCUGGCCACCAUCCAGCUGCCCACCGUCGGGGCCGGCACGGUGCAGUACAUGCGGCUGGAGCACGACGGCCACCUCCGGCUCUACGAGUGGCACUCCGGCCCCGGCUGGGCACCGGUGUUCGACGUGCUGCGCCUCUUCCCGGACGGCGGCUGCGCGUACCCAACCGUCUGCGGCGCGUACGGCGUGUGCACGGACGACACGCAGUGCAGCUGCCCCGACGCGGCCAACUUCCGGGCGGUGGACUUCCGGAGGCCCAACCGCGGCUGCGUCCCGACGAAUCCACCGGCGACGUCCUGCGGCUCCUCGUCGCCGGGGCGGCGGGCGCAGCACCGGCUGGUGUCGGUGCCGGGCACGUCCUACUUCAACGACCACGCCACGAGCAUGCGGGCCGUGGAGAGGGUGAGCGAGGAGGCGUGCAAGAAGGCGUGCCUGGAUGACUGCGCCUGUGCGGCGGCGCAGUUUUACUACGGCUCCGACGCCGGCGAUGGGUUCUGCUACCUGCAGUCGGAGGUGUUCUCGAUGCAGACGGUGCGGCCGGAGGUGGUGCACUACAACUCCACCAUGCAUAUCAAGGUGCAGCCCAAGUCAGCCAGGAUCUGA